GCAUAGCUCAAUAGUUAGAGUGUGAGCCUUCAGACUCGAGAGUUGCAGGUUCAAAUCCUGCAAA
rnacentral:tRNA from 12 species